GCUGUAUUUCUGUCUGUCUGUCUGUCUCUUUCUCUCUCUCUCUCUCUCUUACUUCUCCCCUCUGCCCUAGCCUUGGGUCUUAUUGGCAAUUCCUCUCUCCCUUUGUUCUGAUAACUGGGGUCUCUGAUUCCUUCCAAGUCUUUCUGUGUACAACAUUACACUUCAGUAUAUUUCCCCAUUUCUUCUCAACAAGAAGCUAUCUUGACAAGAACAGCUGUCCAUUUGCAUUGCCAACCAUGAAAAGCUGGGUACCACUACCCAAAUUAAGUCCUGUCUUGAUUCCCACUCCAAGGUCAUUUUUCCACUAAGAUCCAGGUAUUUUUGGCUUUCAAAGUUUGGGUAUUUUUGCUUAUGCAAUUUAUGAGCUGAUGAAUGAGGAUAAUACUUUCCUUUAUAAGAAUAGACCCAGUAUAUAAAUCGUCUGCAAAUGUCUUUUGGUUUUUGUUCCCUUAGCUUCCUCAUCAAUAUGUAAAUAUAUUGUUAAUUCCUUGUUUCUUGUGUGUGGGUUGAUGUUUCUUUUCUUUUAAGCUUCUAUGACUCUCUAGUCAUCUCUGAUAAUGAAAAGUGGCUGCUCUCACCAUAUUUUAAACUCAUGAACUCCCAUGGAUCUUUCUGCUCUAAUGGUAUUGUUCAGAGAAGGUCAGGAUAUGGUUAUGGGAAUAGUCAGCAUAAACCACCAGAGACACACUAUGGAGGCACGAGGCAAAUGGAGCAUAUGUUGAAUGUCAGUUACAUGGUUCUAUUAUGUAUUAGUGAUAUUUUGGUAUGAACAUGACCCUGGCUUUUGUUGUGUGAUCUUCCAGGACUUAGGAAACCAGCAUUUUAUUUUUCUGCUCUUCAGAGUAGUGCUUGCAAGGUAUGGUGCUGGUCUUCACAUCUUCAUGUGAAUGUAAUAUAACUGGAAAGGGACAACUGAUGAGCAAUGGAAUUGAUGAAAAGCACAGAAACAAGGUUUUGUCUAUGUCAAAAGAGCUAGAGAUGCUUUAGUUGGGUGA
rnacentral:lncRNA from 1 species